GAUGAACGCUGGCGGCGUGCUUAACACAUGCAAGUCGAACGAUGAAAGCGGGAGCUUGCUCCUGCUGGAUUAGUGGCGAACGGGUGAGUAACACGUGAGCAAUCUGCCCCGAACUCUGGGAUAAGCGUUGGAGACGACGUCUAAUACCGGAUACGACGCGCGAAGGCAUCUUCUGCGCGUGGAAAGAAUUUCGGUUCGGGAUGAGCUCGCGGCCUAUCAGCUAGUUGGUGAGGUAACGGCUCACCAAGGCGACGACGGGUAGCCGGCCUGGGGGGGUGACCGGCCACAGUGGGACUGAGACACGGCCCAGACUCCUACGGGAGGCAGCAGUGGGGAAUAUUGCACAAUGGGCGAAAGCCUGAUGCAGCAACGCCGCGUGAGGGACGACGGCCUUCGGGUUGUAAACCUCUUUUAGUAGGGAAGAAGCGAAAGUGACGGUACCUGCAGAAAAAGCACCGGCUAACUACGUGCCAGCCGCCGCCGUAAAAA
rnacentral:rRNA from 1 species